UGCAGUGUGGUGUGUAUGUAUCAGUUGAAAUAAUUCACUUUGUUUUUUAUUUGGAUUAUAUUUCAUGGAAUUGACAGGGCCUAUGACAGUCGGGUGGUAUAUAGGCAAUGGAGGAUGUGCCUGUGCUCAAUAUGUUGAUCCUGUGUGUGGUGUAGAUGGAGUGACGUACACCAAUGCUGGAUGUCUGGGAUGCGCCGGGGUCCCCUUGGCUUGUAGGGGAUCAUGUCCUUGCUACAGACCCUACUGAACAUAACGGAGACAACACUUUACAGAAAAGUCAGCAGCAGGGACCUAUAGAAUGGUGUUUAGGUCUCUUAUGUCUGUGAAAGUAAAUUUCCUUGUGUAAUAAAAAGUAACAAAAAGUAA